UAAAAUUUGUCCAUACGAACC
rnacentral:piRNA from 1 species